UAUAUGGGUACUUACUAGAUUGACCCUAUAGUAAACGAACGUCGAACCACAUAGUUAAUAAAUGUAUACGCAUUAAAGCAUAAGUACAAAAUAACGGCAAGAAUCGCUUUUGUUUUUGUUAUUUUGUGGAAAGGGCAUAUACAAGAUUAAAGACAAAACUUCGAUUGCGCUUUACAUCGCAGUUUGUUUACGCGUCUUUGUUUUAUUUUGUGCUACUCUUUUGGUCAAACGCAGCUGUGUUUGCUGGCUGACGAAAUUUUGCAAGCAUUUGAGUUGAGAAGUGCAAGGCGGAUCAAUCGAUUAUUAGAUAAUAAAAGGACGACAAGCAGUUAGCAUAAUGUAUUGCUCUACAGUGGAAAAAGACAAUGUGCCUAAAGAAGAGGAAGUGGAAAUUAUGACAGAAAAUCUACGUUAUGGAAAUAAUGACAGGGGAAUGCGGACCUAAAAAAAAAAGGCAGUUUCUUUGGUGUUAUGAUCGAUUCAAUAACUGAGGACCACUUUACAAAAGCCUUACAGCUCAAAAAAAACGAUAUUCUAAAA